rnacentral:rRNA from 1 species
GCAAGUCAAACGAGAACCGGGCUUCGGCCCGGGGACAGUGGCGUAAGGGCGAGUAACGGUAUCGAACGUACCCCGAGGUGGGGGAUAGCUGCGGGAAACUGCAGGUAAUACCCCAUGAUCUCUUCGGAGCAAAGGCUUGACCGCCUUGGGAGCGGCGAUACUCCUAUCAGGUAGUUGGUGGGGUAAAGGCCUACCAAGCCAAUGACGGGUAGCGGGUGUGAGAGCAUGACC